rnacentral:lncRNA from 1 species
AAACACAUAACAUGGAAAUUUAAAAUUUGCAUACAACAUUUGAGUUUUGAAAACAGUACAAUAUUGAAGUAGCAAUGCAGUAAUGCAUAAAUGUUCCUACUCAAAGUCAAUACAACUAAACAUCAAAUUCUAACUAUGAGGUUCGUUAUCAUAGGGGGCUCGGGAGUGUUGCAGUUGUUCCUCUAUUUUCCCAACUCGCGAUUCUAGGGCGUCAAAUCUUGUACCAACGAAUGUCUGGAGUUGUUCGAUGCGGUUGAUGACAUCAUCUAGUGUUGUAGAAGAACUUUAUUGUUGAUUAUGUUGGACUUGUCCGCCUUGACGUUGUUCAUUGGCUAUGUUUUC